rnacentral:rRNA from 1 species
GAUUAGCCUGCGUCCGAUUAGCUAGUUGGUGGGGUAAAGGCCUACCAAGGCGAUGAUCGGUAGCUGGUCUGAGAGGAUGGUCAGCCACACUGGGACUGAGACACGGCCCAGACUUCUACGGGAGGCAGCAGUGGGGAAUAUUGGACAAUGGGGGGAACCCUGAUCCAGCAAUGCCGCGUGUGUGAAGAAGGCCUGCGGGUUGUAAAGCACUUUUAGUGGGGAGGAGAGGUGCUUGGUUAAGAGCUGAGUACUUGGACGUUACCCACAGAAACAGCACCGGCUAACUCCGUGCCAGCAGCCGCGGUAAUACGGGGGGUGCAAGCGUUAAUCGGAAUUACUGGGCGUAAAGGGUGCGUAGGUGGGAUAAUAAGAUAGCUGUGAAAGUCCUGAGCUUAACUUAGGGAGGUCAGCUAAGACUGUUAUUCUAGAGUAUAGGAGAGGGUAGAGGAAUUUCCGGUGUAGCGGUGAAAUGCGUAGAUAUCGGGAGGAACACCGGUGGCGAAGGCGUUUACCUGGCCUAAUACUGACACUGAGGCACGAAAGCGUGGGUAGCAAACAGGAUUAGAUACCCUGGUAGUCCACGCUGUAAACGAUGUCAACUAGCUGUUGG